rnacentral:lncRNA from 1 species
AAAUGAAUAGACUGUACGCUGUAUGAUUGCUAUAGAGUUCGAAAGCAUGCAUUGUUAUUGGCUCGUGAUGGCUUUUAGCGCGUGUAGUAUAGUUGGGAUGACCGCAACAGCUGCCUGUCGUUGCCAUACAUCUGCUUAGUUGGUGGCAUUUUACAGCAUGCCAUUAUGCGAAUUUUGUGCCCUUAUUCAAUAAUUUACGAUAUGUAAGUACUGUGACGCAGCGCAGGCCAUCUUUUUGUAGUCGUGCUUACUGUGGCACAAGCAAGAUUGCGAUAACUAAAUUAUAUAAGGUUUUACGAAAUACUCUCUUGUGCGGCGCUGCUCAGUUUGACCACCUGGAGUUUCUUAAUUGUGCACCUAACUUCAAAAAGUACAUUGUUGUUUUUCUAUUUUCUCAAUUGAAAUGUGGCCUCUGUGGCAAGGAAUUGAGCCUGUGCCGUUGAGCUUUACAGAGGAACACCUUAGCCGCUAAGGUACCUUGGCGGGUGGCUAAACAAGGAGCACAAUAUACUUUUUUUUUAUGGAAUUGUAAAUUAUUUAGUGCACCCUGGGGAUUGCCAGUAUAUUUUCUAGUUGUGCACUCUGUGACCUUUACUAAAUCGAAAAAAAAA